GACGAACGCUGGCGGCGUGCUUAACACAUGCAAGUCGAACGGAAAGGCCCUGCUUUUGUGGGGUGCUCGAGUGGCGAACGGGUGAGUAACACGUGAGUAACCUUCCCUUGACUUUGGGAUAACUUCAGGAAACUGGGGCUAAUACCGGAUAGGAGCUCCUGCUGCAUGGUGGGGGUUGGAAAGUUUCGGCGGUUGGGGAUGGACUUGCGGCUUAUCAGCUUGUUGGUGGGGUAGUGGCUUACCAAGGCUUUGACGGGUAGCCGGCCUGAGAGGGGGACCGGCCACAUUGGGACUGAGAUACGGCCCAGACUCCUACGGGAGGCAGCAGUGGGGAAUAUUGCACAAUGGGCGGAAGCCUGAUGAAGCAACGCCGCGUGCGGGAUGACGGCCUUCGGGUUGUAAACCGCUUUCACCUGUGACGAGGCGUGAGUGACGGUAAUGGGUAAAGAAGCACCGGCUAACUACGUG
rnacentral:rRNA from 1 species